rnacentral:rRNA from 1 species
AUUGAACGCUGGCGGCAUGCCUUACACAUGCAAGUCGAACGGCAGCACGGGUGCUUGCACCUGGUGGCGAGUGGCGAACGGGUGAGUAAUACAUCGGAACGUACCUUAUCGUGGGGGAUAACGCAGCGAAAGCUGUGCUAAUACCGCAUACGCCCUGAGGGGGAAAGCGGGGGAUCGCAAGACCUCGCGCGAUUAGAGCGGCCGAUGCCUGAUUAGCUUGUUGGUGGGGUAAAAGCCCACCAAGGCGACGAUCAGUAGCUGGUCUGAGAGGACGAUCAGCCACACGGGGACGGAGACACGGCCCAGACUCCUACGGGAGGCAGCAGUGGGGAAUUUUGGGCAAUGGAGGCAACCCUGAUCCAGCAAUGCCGCGUGAGUGAAGAAGGCCUUCGGGUUGUAAAGCUCUUUUGUCAGGGAAGAAACACCGGCUCUAACACAGUCCGGGAAUGACGGUACCUGAAGAAUAAGCACCGGCUAACUACGUGCCAGCCGCCGCGGUAA